UACGUAGGUGGCAAGCGUUAUCCGGAAUUAUUGGGCGUAAAGAGCGCGCAGGUGGUUGAUUAAGUCUGAUGUGAAAGCCCACGGCUUAACCGGGGAGGGUCAUUGGAAACUGGGAGACUUGAGUGCAGAAGAGGAGAGUGGAAUUCCAUGUGUAGCGGUGAAAUGCGCAGAGAUAUGGAGGAACACCAGUGGCGAAAGGCGGCUCUCUGGUCUGUAACUGACGCUGAUGUGCGAAAGCGUGGGGAUCAAACAGGA
rnacentral:rRNA from 1 species